UACAGAGGGGCUAGCGUUGUUCGGAAUUACUGGGCGUAAAGGGCGCGUAGGUGGCCUGUUAAGUCGAACUGAAAUCCCCGGGCUCAACCCGGGAACUGCGUCCGAUACUGGAUGGCUUGAAUCCGGGAGAGGGAUGCAGAAUUCCAGGUGUAGCGGUGAAAUGCGUAGAUAUCUGGAGGAAUACCGGUGGCGAAGGCGGCAUCCUGGACCGGCAUUGACGCUGAUGAGCGAAAGCUAGGGGAGCAAACGGGG
rnacentral:rRNA from 1 species